rnacentral:rRNA from 1 species
UUGGAGGGCAAGUCUGGUGCCAGCAGCCGCGGUAAUUCCAGCUCCAAUAGCGUAUAUUAAAGUUGUUGCAGUUAAAAAGCUCGUAGUUGAAUUUCGAGACCGGUCUACUGGUCGUGCUUUUGUACGUACUGGUUUUAUUGGUUUCUCCUUUCUGACGAACUAUAAUGCCAUUAAUUUGGUGUUAUAGGGAAUCAGGACUGUUACUUUGAAAAAAUUAGAGUGUUUAAAGCAGGCUCACGCUUGAAUACAUUAGCAUGGAAUAACGGAAUAGGACGUUUGAUUUUAUUUUGUUGGUUUCUAGGAUCGACGUAAUGAUUAAUAGGGAUAGUUGGGGGCAUUAGUAUUCAAUUGUCAGAGGUGAAAUUCUUGGAUUUAUUGAAGACCAACUACUGCGAAAGCAUUUGCCAAGGAUGUUUUCAUUAAUCAAGAACGAAAGUUAGGGGAUCGAAGACGAUCAGAUACCGUCGUAGUCUUAACCAUAAACUAUGCCGACUAGGGAUCGGAUGAUGUUAAUUUUUUAAUGACUCAUUCGGCGCCUUACGGGAAAC